GUCCUUUACACACAGAACAAAGAAUUUAAACAACUUAAAGCAAGUAGCUAUGGGUUACCACAAAUUCAGGAAUGUUCCAAGUUUUCCAGGCUCCAGUUGAAAAGAACAAAAACCACAGACUCCCUACUGUCUGUAUGGGCUAGAAGACUAUCUUCCACAAUUAUGCUAGAAAGAAAAUGUAAUUGAUCUACGAAACGAACAUAGGACAUAUCAAGUCCAGUCCUCGUGCACAUAAAAACGCUUGUCAUGUAGUUACCAACCCCAGCUUUGUUUUGAGCUUUCCCUAGGAAGCUAAAGAUUUUAUUAGAAAGCACAGUGCACUGUUUUCCUGGCUCCAAAAGCACCUCAGGAGGAAGACAGAGCUCCAAAGUGGAAAGGAAUUCUUACCGUUUUGUUUGGGGACAAGUCUGAUGGCCACACGUUCGGUUAUUGUCUGGCUGUGGCUUGUUCCUGCACAUAUAGUCCGGAUAAAUUUCAUUAUCUAUGGUACAAAACACCAAACGGGAUUGGAAGCCUGAAGGUGAAACAAGAAAGUAUACUGAUCAACGUAGGGCACCCAGGACAAUGCACUAGUAUUUGAAAUGCACGGAUGUUGCUAAGACAAGAUUCUAAAGCAGCACUGAAUCCACACCUGCAACUCAUCAAUCUGGUAGAAUCAGGUACAGCUCUUGUUCUGUCACCACAUGUAUGAAUGAUGCCUACUCACAGUAUACAGUAGAACAAAAUAAAAUGCAUCCCUACCUAUCCAGGAUCCAAGUAA